rnacentral:rRNA from 1 species
CGGAACGGGUGAGUAACGCGUGAGGAACCUGCCUCAAAGAGGGGGACAACAGUUGGAAACGACUGCUAAUACCGCAUAAGCCCACGGCUCGGCAUCGAGCAGAGGGAAAAGGAGCAAUCCGCUUUGAGAUGGCCUCGCGUCCGAUUAGCUAGUUGGUGAGGUAACGGCCCACCAAGGCGACGAUCGGUAGCCGGACUGGGAGGUUGAACGGCCACAUUAGGACUGAGACACGGCCCAG